GCUUGUCUCAAAGAUUAAGCCAUGCAUGUCUAAGUACAUACCUCAAAAUGGUGAAACCGCGAAUGGCUCAUUAAAUCAGUUAUGGUUCCUUAGAAACAUACUUCCUACUUGGAUAUCUGUGGCAAUUCUAGAGCUAAUACAUGCACUAAACUCCGAUGCCCUUCAAGGCGACGAGUGCUUUUAUUAGACCAAGACCAAUCGGACUUCGGUCCGUCAUGUUGUGGUGACUCUGGAUAACUUUGUGCCGAUCGCACGGCCAAGAGCCGGCGACGAUUCUUUCAAGUGUCUGCCUUAUCAACUGUCGAUGGUAGGUUAUGCGCCUACCAUGGUUGUGACGGGUAACGGAGAAUCAGGGUUCGAUUCCGGAGAGGGAGCCUGAGAGACGGCUACCACAUCCAAGGAAGGCAGCAGGCGCGCAAAUUACCCACUCCCGGCACGGGGAGGUAGUGACGAAAAAUAACAAUACGGGACUCUAAUGAGGCCCCGUAAUUGAAAUGAGUACACUCUAAAUCCUUGUACGAGGAUCAAUUGGAGGGCAAGUCUGGUGCCAGCAGCCGCGGUAAUUCCAGCUCCAAUAGCGUAUACUAAAGUUGUUGCGGUUAAAAAGCUCGUAGUUGGAUCUCAGUUCCAGACGGGAAGUACAUCGAACCGAUGUUACCGCCCGAACUGAACAUAAUGCCAGCUGUUUCUUGGUCCUCUUCAUUGGGUGCCUUGAGGCGGUCGGUGCAUUUACUUUGAAAAAAUUAGAGUGCUUAACGCAGGCGCACCGCCUGAAUAACGAUGCAUGGAAUAAUAGAGCAAGACCUCGUGUCUGUUUUGUUGGUUUUUGGAAAACGAGGUAAUGAUUAAGAGGGACAGACGGGGGCAUUCGUAUUGCGGCGCUAGAGGUGAAAUUCUUGGACCGUCGCAAGACGAACUACUGCGAAAGCAUUUGCCAAGAAUGUUUUCAUUGAUCAAGAACGAAAGUUAGAGGUUCGAAGGCGAUCAGAUACCGCCCUAGUUCUAACCAUAAACGAUGCCAACCAGCAAUCCGCCAGAGUUCCUCAAAUGACUCGGCGGGCAACUUCCGGGAAACCAAAGUAUUCGGGUUCCGGGGGAAGUAUGGUUGCAAAGCUGAAACUUAAAGGAAUUGACGGAAGGGCACCACCAGGAGUGGAGCCUGCGGCUUAAUUUGACUCAACACGGGAAAACUUACCCGGCCCGGACACUGGGAGGAUUGACAGAUUGAGAGCUCUUUCUUGAUUCGGUGGAUGGUGGUGCAUGGCCGUUCUUAGUUGGUGGAGCGAUUUGUCUGGUUAAUUCCGAUAACGAACGAGACUCUAGCCUAUUAAAUAGGUGCUAGGCCCAUUGUGCCUUGCAACCUUCUUAGAGGGACAAGCGGCCUUCUAGCCGCACGAAACAGAGCAAUAACAGGUCUGUGAUGCCCUUAGAUGUCCGGGGCCGCACGCGCGCUACACUGAAGGACACAGCGUGUGCAUACCCCUCUCCGAAAGGAAUGGGUAACCCGUGGAACAUCCUUCGUGAUUGGGAUAGGGGCUUGAAAUUGUUCCCCUUGAACGAGGAAUUCCCAGUAAGCGCGAGUCAUAAGCUUGCGUUGAUUACGUCCCUGCCCUUUGUACACACCGCCCGUCGCUACUACCGAUUGAAUGAUUUAGUGAGGUCUUCGGACCGAAACCCGGAGAGGCCCUUUGGGUUGCGCCGGCGUGUCGGAAAGAUGACCAAACUUGAUCAUUUAGAGGAAGUAAAAGUCGUAACAAGGUUUCCGUAGGUAACC
rnacentral:rRNA from 1 species